rnacentral:tRNA from 1 species
GCCGUGAUCGUCUAGUGGUUAGGACCCUACGUUGUGGGGCUAGCAAUUCCGUAGUAACCCAGGUUCGAAUCCUGGUCACGGCA